AUUGAACGCUGGCGGCAGGCCUAACACAUGCAAGUCGAGCGGAUGAAGGGUGCUUGCUCCUGGAUUCAGCGGCGGACGGGUGAGUAAUGCCUAGGAAUCUGCCUGGUUGUGGGGGAUAACGUCCGGAAACGGGCGCUAAUACCGCAUACGUCCUGAGGGAGAAAGUGUGGGAUCUUCGGACCUCACGCUAUCAGAUGAGCCUAGGUCGGAUUAGCUAGUUGGUGGGGUAAAGGCCUACCAAGGCGACGAUCCGUAACUGGUCUGAGAGGAUGAUCAGUCACACUGGAACUGAGACACGGUCCAGACUCCUACGGGAGGCAGCAGUGGGGAAUAUUGGACAAUGGGCGAAAGCCUGAUCCAGCCAUGCCGCGUGUGUGAAGAAGGUCUUCGGAUUGUAAAGCACUUUAAGUUGGGAGGAAGGGCAGUAAGUUAAUACCUUGCUGUUUUGACGUUACCAACAGAAUAAGCACCGGCUAACUUCGUG
rnacentral:rRNA from 1 species